rfam:Gorilla gorilla gorilla genomic chromosome, chr8, whole genome shotgun sequence
GCCGGGCGUGGUAGCUCACGCCUGUAAUCCAAGCACUUUGGGAGGCUGAGGUGGGUGGAUCACCUGAGGUCAGGAGUUUGAGACCAGCCUGACCAACAUGGUGAAACCCUGUCUCUA